rnacentral:misc_RNA from 1 species
GAUGAAGAACGCAGCGAAAUGCGAUAAGUAAUGUGAAUUGCAGAAUUCAGUGAAUCAUCGAAUCUUUGAACGCACAUUGCGCCCGUCAGUAUUCUGGCGGGCAUGCCUGUUCGAGCGUCAUUACGCCCCUCAAGUCCCCUGUGGACUUGGUGUUGGGGAUCGGCGAGGCUGGUUUUCCAGCACAGCCGUCCCUUAAAAUAAUUGGCGGUCUCGCCGUGGCCCUCCUCUGCGCAGUAGUAAAACACUCGCAACAGGAGCCCGGCGCGGUCCACUGCCGUAAAACCCCCCAACUUUUUAUAGUUGACCUCGAAUCAGGUAGGACUACCCGCUGAACUUAAGCAUAUCAAUAAGCGGAGGA